GACAGAGGGUGCAAACGUUGUUCGGAAUUACUGGGCGUAAAGCGCGUGUAGGCUGCUCGGAAAGUCGGGUGUGAAAGCCCUGGGCUCAACCUAGGAAGUGCACUCGAAACUUCCGAGCUGGAGUGCUGGAGAGGAAGGCGGAAUUCUCGGUGUAGAGGUGAAAUUCGUAGAUAUCGAGAGGAACACCGGUGGCGAAGGCGGCCUUCUGGACAGCCACUGACGCUGAGACGCGAAAGCGUGGGGAGCAAACAGG
rnacentral:rRNA from 1 species